UUGGACCUGAUAUCAGGCAAGACUACCCGCUGAACUUAAGCAUAUUAAUAAGCGGAGGAAAAGAAACUAACAAGGAUUCCCCUAGUAACGGCGAGUGAAGCGGGAUGAGCUCAAGCUUAAAAUCUCUGUGCAAGUUUUGCAUGGCGAAUUGUAGUCUAUGGAGGCGAUGUCAGUGCGGCUAUGCGGGUUAAGUUCCUUGGAAGAGGACAGCAUCGAGGGUGAUACUCCCGUAUGUACCUGUAUAGUUGCGCGUACGACACGUUUUCUUUGAGUCGCGUUGUUUGGGAAUGCAGCGCAAAGUAGGUGGUAA
rnacentral:rRNA from 1 species